rnacentral:lncRNA from 1 species
AUAACUCAAUCACCUUCUCCCUAGUUCUGUGUAUACAACACAUAAAGUAAGUAAAUUUGAUGAAUGCACCAUGCGCGUAGGGUACAAUUUUAAUCUCUCAAUUUUAAUAACUCAAUCACCUUCUCCCUAUUGCACUGCUCUAGGAUCCCAUGCCAAAGCUAUAUUUCACAGUUUAGGUGGCUAAUGGCUAAUGCAGCUCUAAUCAACACUUUUUUGUUUUGUUUUGUUUUUGUUGGGGGAGGAGGAGGAGAGGUGACAGUACUAAGAAGAUAAACUUUGGACCUCACGUCAUUUUAGCUUCACUUGCACACAUUUCUUGAUUUAGCUACAUUUCAAGUUUUCUUGUUCAAUUUCAGCAACCUUCCUUCCGGAUGCUAGCGGUAGUAGUACUGAUAUGACCAUUUGGAGUCAUCUA